rnacentral:rRNA from 1 species
GAUGAACGCUGACAGAAUGCUUAACACAUGCAAGUCAACUUGAAUUUGGGUUUUUAACUUAGGUUUGGGUGGCGGACGGGUGAGUAACGCGUAAAGAACUUGCCUCACAGCUAGGGACAACAUUUGGAAACGAAUGCUAAUACCUAAUAUUAUGAUAAUAGGGCAUCCUAUAAUUAUGAAAGCUAUAAGCGCUGUGAGAGAGCUUUGCGUCCCAUUAGCUAGUUGGAGAGGUAGCGGCUCACCAAGGCGAUGAUGGGUAGCCGGCCUGAGAGGGUGAUCGGCCACAAGGGGACUGAGACACGGCCCUUACUCCUACGGGAGGCAGCAGUGGGGAAUAUUGGACAAUGGACCGAGAGUCUGAUCCAGCAAUUCUGUGUGCACGAUGAAGUUUUUCGGAAUGUAAAGUGCUUUCAGUUGGGAAGAAACAAAUGACGGUACCAACAGAAGAAGUGACGGCUAAAUACGUG